CCUACGGGAGGCAGCAGUGAGGAAUAUUGGUCAAUGGACGAGAGUCUGAACCAGCCAAGUAGCGUGAAGGAUGACUGCCCUAUGGGUUGUAAACUUCUUUUAUAUGGGAAUAAAAUGUUCCACGUGUGGGAUUUUGUAUGUACCAUAUGCAUAAGGAUCGGCUCACUCCGUGCCAGCAGCCGCGGUAAUACGGAGGAUCCGAGCGUUAUCCGGAUUUAUUGGGUUUAAAGGGAGCGUAGGUGGAUUGUUAAGUCAGUUGUGAAAGUUUGGGGCUCAACCGUAAAAUUGCAGUUGAUACUGGCAGUCUUGAGUACAGUAGAGGUGGGCGGAAUUCGUGGUGUAGCGGUGAAAUGCGUAGAUAUCACGAAGAACUCCGAUGGCGAAGGCAGUUCACUGGACUGCAACUGACACUGAGGCUCGAAAGUGUGGGUAUCAAACAGGAUUAGAUACCCCAGUAGUC
rnacentral:rRNA from 1 species